rnacentral:lncRNA from 1 species
UGGCAUAUGGAGGUUCCAAGGCUAGGGGGUCUAAUCGGAGCUGUGGCCGCCAGCCUACACCAGAGCCACAGCAACGGGGGAUCCGAGCCGUGUCUGCAACCUACACCACAGCUCAAGGCAAUGCUGGAUCCUUACACUGAGCAAGGCCAGGGAUCGAACCCACAACCUCAUGGUUCCUAGUCAGAUUUGUUAACCAUUGCGCCACAACAGGAACUCCAAAAAAUUUAAUUUUAAAGUUUGUUAUGUCUGAUAUUAGUGUAGCCACUUUUGGUUACUGUUUGCUUAUUAACUAUUCUUUUACUUCCAACCAAUCUGUGUCUUUGAAUUGAAAAUAUGUCUCUUGUAGGCAGCAUAUAGUUGGAUUAUGUUUUCUAAAAAUCCAUUUUUGCCAAUCUCUGACUUUUGAUUAAAGUGUUGAGUCUAUUUAAAUGAAAUGUAAUUAGUGAUAAGGUAGGAUUUGUCUGCUAUGUUGUUAUUUGUUUCUUAUAUGCAUUACAUCUUUUUUCCUUUAUUUCUCCAUUAUUGCCUUCUUUUAUGUUAUAUGGAUGUUUUCUGGUGUACCAUUUUUUAUUCCCCACUGUUGCUUCUUCUUCUUCUUUUCUGGAAUUCUUUUUUUAGGGAGUUCCCUGGAAAUUACAAUUAACAUCUUAAUUUAUAAUGACCUAGUUCAGAUUAAUACCGACAUUUUCAAUCAUAUAUAAAAGCUUUGCUCCGAUGUAGCACUAUUCUUUCCCCUACUUUAUGCUAUUAUUGCCAUACAAAUCACAUUGUUAUGCAUUAUAAGCCUACCAACACAGUUUUAUAAUUAUUGCUUUGAUAGUUAUCUUUUAAAUCAGAUAGGGAAAGAAGAGUAACAAAUAAAAAAUAAAUUUACACUGUAGUAACUUUUACUACUGCCUUUAUUUCUUUGUGUGGAUUUGAGUUACAUCUAGUGUUUUUUCAUUUCAGCCUGAAAGACUCUCUUUAGUAUUUCUUGUAGAGCAGUUCUUCUAACAACAAAUUCACUCAGUUUCGUUUAUUUGAGAAUGUCUUAAUUCCUCCUGCACUUUUGAAGCAUAGUUUUUAGUGAAUAGAAACUGUUUGGUUGACAUUCUUUCUCUUUCAGCAUAUUGAAUAUUCCAGACCACUGACUUCUGGCCUCCAAGCUUUCCCAAAGAAGUCAGCUGUUAUAUUGCCAACCCUUGUAUAUAGCACAUCUCUCCUUUAAAGAUUCUCUCUCCGUCUUUAACUUUUCAUGGUUUAUGAUGUAUUGAGGUGGAGAUUUUUGUGAGUUAGAAUUCACUGAACUUCUUGGAUAUGUAGAUUAAUGUUCUUCAUAAAUUUGGGAAGUUUUUGGACAUUAUUUCUUCAAAUAUUCUUUCUGCCCCUUUCUCUUCUCUCCUCUGGGAUCUUAUCACCCGUGUGAUGGUAUACUUCACAGUGUCCCGCAGGUCUCUUACAUUUUGUCUACUCUUCUUCAUUCUUUUUUCAUCCUGUUCCUCAGACUGGAUAAUCUUGAUUGACCUACUUCUAAGUUCCCUGGUCCUUUCUUCUGCCAACUCAAAUAUACUGUCGGGUGUCUCUAGUGACCCAAAAGUUAUUAUACUUUUCAACUCCAGAAUGUCUAGUUGGUUCUUUUAUAUAUCUAUAUAUAUAUAUUUUUCAUUUUCUAUCUCUUUACUAUAAUGAAACAAUGUUCUCAUACUUUCCUCUAAUUCUCACACAUCCCUUAAACCACUGAUGGAUCCUCAGACCUAUUUCCUUAGUCCUGUCAUGUCAUGUAUGAGGUAGAGCAAAGUCCCACCUUGGAAGAACUCUUUUCUCCCUUAGCUCCACAUUAUUCCUGAAACCCAAGAGGGUAACUUAAAAGAUUAUGUUAUAAGUCUGUGAUUUUCUUUUCUGUGGUUGCCAAGGGGGUGGGGGAGGGAGAAGGACUGGGAAUUUGGGGUUAAUAGAUGCAAACUAUUGCCUAUGGAAUGGAUAACCAAUGAGAUCCUGCUGUAUAGCCCUGGGAACUAUGUCUAGUCACUGAUGAUGGAGCAUGAUCAUGUGAGAAAAAAGAAUGUAUAUAUGUAUGUGUGACUGGGUCACCUUCUCCAAUGUUCAAAGAGAUUUCAGCAGGAAAACAAAUGGCCAAGGCCAUGAACAGGCAAAGGCAAUAUCAGGAGCAGAACCUGCCUGGCCAGACUGGCCAUACUUUUCUGUCACUUCAGUUAUGAUCUUUAGCAGAUAUUUAUUUCAGUCUUUGUUCUGCUUAGACUGUGGUGCAGGGCUGCGAUCAAUAAUAUCUGGGCAUAUUUAGAAAUAUGAAUGGAGAUAAAAGAAGUAAAACCAGGAACCAGUAACUACGCUCAAUACUCCCAUGCACAGGGCCCCAGGCACACUUUUCUUCACACAUGCUUAUCAAGGGGCAUAAGCUACAGUAACAGAGAGCUGCAUGCAAUAUCUUCGAAGGCUUAGCUGAUAUCCCCUUUAUAAAGCUCCACAAGAGAAAUUUACUUUAGAACCAAGUAACAGAAAAAUCCUUGCUUCUUUUGAGAAACCAAUUGUCUCUUUCUGAUCACAGAGUUAUGAAAGCACAACUCCCUUUUCACGUUGACAAGGAGAAAGCUUAGAGUCACCUGUGAAGCUUAACUGUAGCAAUUAUAGCUACUGGGACUUUGGGCUCUUUCCCUGGUCCGAAUUCUUUAUUUCUAUUUCUAUACUGUCAAGAAUUUAUAACAUGAGUACUGAGCAUAAAUCACUUUAUUGAAAUGUAUGACAGGAAAAUCAUUCUUAUAUAUAUAUAUGCAGUACUGAAACAAGCUAAAAGGAACAAGAGAUAUUUUCCUUCUCUCAUCUGGAGGAAGUUUGGAGAAAGUCCCCUGAAGUUGAGAUGGAGCCUGGUUUAUGGAGGCACCUUGAGUGUUAAAGGAGAAGGCUUUUCUCCUUACAGUGCCCAGGGACAAGGAUGGGUGGGGGGGGCACCUCUCAGAAAGGACCUGAUGCUUCCAGCCUGAGCCCCCCAGCUCUCUUCACAUAGAAGCAGAGGAGCCAGUGGCCUGAAGAUCACAUGAGCCAGGACAUGACCAGGAUGGACCCCAAACAAAAGGGCCCUUUCUCAGUUCUCCAGUCCUCAUGAGAACUCUGAGGCUUUGGUACAAUCCUCAAGGAGUGGUUGGGGGUGGGAGACUCUCAAAAGAUAGAUUGAAUUUCCUGCCAGCUCAGCAGGUGGAAGCUUGGCACUGAUUAAAUUUGAUUUAGAGAAAUAAAGAAAUAUGACAUUUCUGGCACCCUACUGUUGUGGCCUGAAAUUCAUAUCUGCCACAUGGGAUAUAAAUAAAUGAAUGAAUGAAUAAACAAACCAGAGGCCAGAGUGCUUGGGAUGAAUUCCCAAUUUGCUGUGCUUCUACCAUUAGGGUCGUACAACCUUGAAACACAAGGGCUAAUGGAGAACUCAGCGUUUAGCACAAUAAAUACCAUCUGCAGGGACCGUACGGCAAGGAUGGAGGUUAAAAAAAAAACAAAACACAGUUUCAGACUUCGCAAAACUAACACUUUAACGUGGGCAGCACAUGUCAACAAUAAAACAUGAAUGAGAAGAAGGACAGCCAUACAGUCAUACAGCCAACUCUUCCUAAGGAUUACUUCACAUAAGACAUGAAAGGUGAGGAUGAGGAUGGCCCCCCAGCAGGCAGGAAGCAUACAGGCUGCUGAGGAAGAUGUGAGAAGCAGAAUAAUGACACACUAGAAGGAUACAUGCUAUAAAAAUAAUUUGCAUAAUGUGCUUUGGAAGGAGAGUCAUUUCUGUCUGAAGAACCGACGUCUUCCAAAAGGAAGGGGUGCUUCGAAGUCUUUGAAAAUGGAAAGGAUUUGAGCAGAAUAAGGUGGCCCGAGGGGCACUGCAAGCUGGGGUGAUGAAGGUGCAGGCCCACACCUGCUCAUGCUCAGAGAUGCAGGAGUGUAGUGAAUGUCUCAUCACGGAUGCCCCUCACAGGGCACAGGGAUGAAUGGAUAAGGAGUGCUGAGAAGGCCAGAAAGGUGUCUGUGGGCCGCUACAGACAGGGGUGUGGAUAUCAUGCUCAGGUGUUUAGUUGUAAGCAAUAGACAAGGUGAUGGGGGAUUACAGGUCUAUGAACAGAGAAGGGUCAUGGUAAGAACAAUGCUUUUGGCAGUUUGCUGGCAUAACUGCAUGUGGAAAGAUGCAUUAGAGAACAGGGAUAGUGUAGUUACAGGGAGAAGAGUUAAAACCUCCAUUAAAAUGUCCAUUAAAAUGUCCUGGGCACCUGAACUAUAAUGGAGGCGGAGGGUCAAGUAAGAAUGUGGCAGAUGCAAGGGAAUUCACAGGUAUGAAGUGAUGAGCUGGGGGGUGGCGGUGGGGACAAAGAGAAGGAUGACGGCAGAAUCAAGAGAUGACUCUGAGCCACUAAAAGAAUCAAAUAAUGCCAUUUGCAGUGACAUGGAUGAACCUAGAGAUGAUUUUAAGUGCAGUAAGUCAGAAAGGGAAAUACCAUAUGAUAUCACUCAUGUGUGGAAUCUAAAAGACGACACAUGGCGUUAUCAUUGCUGUGGCUCUGGUUUGAUCCCUGGCCCAGGAACUGCCACAUGCCAUGAGUGCAGCCAAAUAAAUAAAUAAAUAAAGACAAAUUAACGUAUCCAUGAAACAAAAACAGACUCACAGAUAGAGACUUGUGGUUGCCAAGGGGGAGGGAAGGAUUGGGAGUUUGGGAUCAGCAGAAGCAAACCAUUAUAAAUAGAAUGGGAAAACAACAAGGUCCUACUGUAUAGCACAGCCUCCCUGUAAUGGAAAAGAACAUGAAAAAGAAUAUAUAUGUAUAACUGAGUCUCUUUGCUGUAUGGCAGAAAUUAACACAACACUGUAAAUCAACCACACUUUAAUAAAAUUUUAAAAAGAGGGAGGACUCUGAGGUUUCAGGCCAAGGUGAAUGAAACAGGGAGUGCAGGAGGAUAAGGGUUUAGAUGGAAAAUGAUGAGCUCAAGGGAGAAGGCACUGAGCUUGAGGUCCCAGUGGGCCCUCCGAUGAGAUGCUUCACAGGUGCUUCAUGUACAGAGACAUAUAAGUGUGCACUCAAUCUUAUGCAUCUACAAACCGAUCUUUCAAAAGUGAUAAAUUAGUGGAAUCUAACAUUAAUAAAGUCAUCUAACAAAAGGAUUCUUCACCUUACAAAAGCGUUAAUAAUAGGAUCCUUUAAAUAGUUUGCUCCUCUGGCAAAUAUAAAAUAGGCUUUAAUAUUUUUUGAAAAGGUGACUUACACCUCUCUUUUCAAAAGCUCAUCUAUGUGUUAAGUAAAGCAUAUCUAGGUAUGAAUAUGGGAUGAACUGGGAGACUUCAGCCAGGUGGAAUUAAUCAAGGCAGAUGUCAUGAAGGAGGAGAUGAAUCUUAAAGGGAAGAUUGAAAGGGUAGCUCACUGCAUUGGUGAAGAGAAAAGAUUGAGGGUUCAAAACCAAGGGGGGACUGUCAUCUCACAGGACAGGUAAUAACCCAUGGCCCUCCCACUCCUUUUCCUUCCCAGGGAUGGAACCAAUGGGGUGGCUGGGGGAUAGGGAGUCCAGCUUCGCCCACAGCCUUUCCAUCUCUGUGGAUGGCAAUUCCAUCCAAAGGUCAGCCGAGGUGAAAACCUUGGGUUAUCCUGCACUCUCUUCCUCUCUCUCACACCCCGUACCCAAUCCAUCAGGAAAUCCUCUUGGUUCUCCCUUUGAAACACAUCCAGGAUCUGCCUCUUCUCUCCACCUUGACUGCUGCUACCAACUUGAUCCAAGCCUCAGUUAUCUCACAGCCUUGGAGCCUGGAUUAUAUCAACCUUCAUACUCUUGCCCCUUGCUAACACCAAUUUUCAAUACAGCAGCAGUUCUUUUUAAAAACAAGUCAGGU